CAACAGCUAGAGUUUGAUCCUGGCUCAGGACGAACGCUGGCGGCGUGCCUAACACAUGCAAGUCGAACGAGAAUCCUCGGAAGGAGACUUCGGUCAACGGAAGAGGAGGACAGUGGCGGACGGGUGAGUAACGCGUGAGCAACCUGCCCUUCAGAGGGGGACAACAGCUGGAAACGGCUGCUAAUACCGCAUGACAUACUUUUAAGGCAUCUUAGGAGUAUCAAAGAUUUAUCGCUGAAGGAUGGGCUCGCGUCUGAUUAGCUGGUUGGUGGGGUAACGGCCUACCAAGGCGACGAUCAGUAGCCGGACUGAGAGGUUGAACGGCCACAUUGGGACUGAGAUACGGCCCAGACUCCUACGGGAGGCAGCAGUGGGGAAUAUUGGGCAAUGGGGGCAACCCUGACCCAGCAACGCCGCGUGAAGGAAGAAGGCUUUCGGGUUGUAAACUUCUUUGACGAGGGACGAAGAAUGACGGUACCUCGAAAACAAGCCACGGCUAACUACGUGCC
rnacentral:rRNA from 1 species